rnacentral:misc_RNA from 1 species
GGGUCCGGUCCUCUCUGCGCCAAUAUCCGUCAUUUCUCUUCCGUUUGCACCGUCGCGCACGGUUCACCGCUACACCAUGUCUCCGCCCAGCUUCAAUUCAUAUUCUGCCAUCGUCUUGUAUUGUCUAGUUGGUUUUAAUUUGCUUGGCAUGAUUCUUUCCUCGGCUGUGGACUCGAGAGAUUUCGAUUAUCGGCAACGGCCUGUGAUUCUUCC